rnacentral:rRNA from 1 species
GAUGAACGCUGGCGGCGUGCCUAAUACAUGCAAGUCGAGCGAACAGACGAGGAGCUUGCUCCUCUGACGUUAGCGGCGGACGGGUGAGUAACACGUGGAUAACCUACCUAUAAGACUGGGAUAACUUCGGGAAACCGGAGCUAAUACCGGAUAAUAUAUUGAACCGCAUGGUUCAAUAGUGAAAGACGGUUUUGCUGUCACUUAUAGAUGGAUCCGCGCCGCAUUAGCUAGUUGGUAAGGUAACGGCUUACCAAGGCAACGAUGCGUAGCCGACCUGAGAGGGUGAUCGGCCACGCUGGAACUGAGACACGGUCGAGACUCCUACGGGAGGCAGCAGUAGGGAAUCUUCCGCAAUGGGCGAAAGCUUGACGGAGCAACGCCGCGUGAGUGAUGAAGGUCUUCGGAUCGUAAAACUCUGUUAUUAGGGAAGAACAAAUGUGUAAGUAACUAUGCACGUCUUGACGGUACCUAAUCAGAAAGCCACGGCUAACUACGUG